rnacentral:rRNA from 1 species
GGACGUUCCAAGAGGUAUCGCCUGAGGGGAUUGGCCCCCGGAUGAGACCCGUCGAACUUCCUUCGAGGCACCGUAGGGAAUUUUCCAUGGGGAAAGCCUGACGGGAGCAAACCCCCCGCUGAGUGAUAAAGGUUUUUCCGGAUCGGUAAAAAUUUUGUUUUUUAGGGAAGGAACAAUAUGNGUUAGGUAACUGUGCCCCAUCCUUGCCGGUACCUUAAUCAGAAAAGCCACGGGCUAACUACGUGCCAGCAAGCCGCGGUAAUACGUAGGUGGCAAGCGUUAUCCGGAAUUAUUGGGCGUAAAGCGCGCGUAGGCGGUUUUUUAAGUCUGAUGUGAAAGCCCACGGCUCAACCGUGGAGGGUCAUUGGAAACUGGAAAACUUGAGUGCAGAAGAGGAAAGUGGAAUUCCAUGUGUAGCGGUGAAAUGCGCAGAGAUAUGGAGGAACACCAGUGGCGAAGGCGACUUUCUGGUCUGUAACUGACGCUGAUGUGCGAAAGCGUGGGGAUCAAACAGGAUUAGAUACCCUGGUAGUCCACGCCGUAAACGAUGAGUGCUAAGUGUUAGGGGGUUUCCGCCCCUUAGUGCUGCAGCUAACGCAUUAAGCACUCCGCCUGGGGAGUACGACCGCAAGGUUGAAACUCAAAGGAAUUGACGGGGACCCGCACAAGCGGUGGAGCAUGUGGUUUAAUUCGAAGCAACGCGAAGAACCUUACCAAAUCUUGACAUCCUUUGACAACUCUAGAGAUAGAGCUUUCCCCUUCGGGGGACAAAGUGACAGGUGGUGCAUGGUUGUCGUCAGCUCGUGUCGUGAGAUGUUGGGUUAAGUCCCGCAACGAGCGCAACCCUUAAGCUUAGUUGCCAUCAUUAAGUUGGGCACUCUAAGUUGACUGCCGGUGACAAACCGGAGGAAGGUGGGGAUGACGUCAAAUCAUCAUGCCCCUUAUGAUUUGGGCUACACACGUGCUACAAUGGACAAUACAAAGGGCAGCGAAACCGCGAGGUCAAGCAAAUCCCAUAAAGUUGUUCUCAGUUCGGAUUGUAGUCUGCAACUCGACUACAUGAAGCUGGAAUCGCUAGUAAUCGUAGAUCAGCAUGCUACGGUGAAUACGUUCCCGGGUCUUGUACACACCGCCCGUCACACCACGAGAGUUUGUAACACCCGAAGCCGGUGGAGUAACCUUUUAGGAGCUAGCCGUCGAAGGUGGGACAAAUGAUUGGGGUGAAGUCGUAACAAGUAGCCGUAUCGAAAGUC